rnacentral:lncRNA from 1 species
GUUCGUGAAGUGAAUACGCAGACAGGACUGCCCCCUUGCAAUGCCCAGUACUUGAUUUCUCAAAAGUUGGUGAAACGGAGAAAUGAAUACGCAGACAGGACUGCCCCCUUCCGAAGACCAGUACUGUAUUUGUCAGUCUACUUAUCGUUUUUUGAUUGUUCUAAUGAAGUUAUAUGCUAUACUCAGACUCUGUUAAAAAAAAUAGUUUACUAGAAUUGUUCCUUCUUUACCUUCAGUGUCGCUUUUCCUUUUUCUGCAAGAGCCUGUUUUUAACUCCAGAUCAAUGAUGAUUAUCGUUACUAUAGGUUAAUGUAAUCGAGAAACAUCACCCGUUGAGAUGCUUAGUUAUAUCCAGGAAGAAUAGUUUAAAACUAAUGAUGACAAGUUAUAGAA